rnacentral:rRNA from 1 species
ACCUACGGGGGGCAGCAGUGAGGAAUAUUGGUCAAUGGUCGGGAGACUGAACCAGCCAAGCCGCGCGAGGGAGGAAGGUACAGAGUAUCGUAAACCUCUUUUGUCAGGGAACAAAGGCGGGGACGUGUCCCCGGAUGGGUGUACCUGAAGAAAAAGCAUCGGCUAACUCCGUGCCAGCAGCCGCGGUAAUACGGAGGAUGCGAGCGUUAUCCGGAUUCAUUGGGCGUAAAGCGCGCGUAGGCGGGUG